CUAGCGUUAAGUGCUGUGUGAACGGGGAGUUGCCACGUGGACUAAGGCGUAUCCGCGGUUCGAUUGUCGCAUCCCGCUGC
rnacentral:ncRNA from 1 species